rnacentral:lncRNA from 1 species
CUACCGCGUCCUGUUGCUAGAGCCUGAGAAGGAGAUUAAGUCACAGACAUAUAUCUCUUAUUCUGCUAAAUCGGUGCAGUAGGUGCUAGUCUACAGUGUGGAAUCGGAGGUUUGGAAUUGUCCACUGUUGGAGGGAAGAUAUGAAGGUUCAUCUCCAUUAACUGUGUCUUCGCCAGAACUACUAAGUAAGUGUUAAGCUCGAAUACAUAUAGUUGUUGCCCGAUCUCAAGAUGGAGGCCCCACUAAAAAUUUUUUGCCUUUCCGCCUUCAUCUAUCAUAUUCUCAA